CCUGCAUGAAAUGAGAUGGAUAUCGGUGAAGAGACAGAGAGGGGGACAAGGGACAGGCAAAAUGAACGAGAAGUAGUGGAAGAUGGAUGCAGAGGAGAGCGGACUUAGAAAUAUUUAUUAAAAACACCCACAAAACGUAAGAAAAAAUAGCUUAAUGUUCCAUGUGCAUAUGGAUACAUGAUUAAUAACAACUUCUCUGGGACUAGAAUUACUAUAUUGUUGAUGGUGCAUUAUGGUAUUUUAUCAAACCAUCCACUGCAGGACUGAAUCCCAAGCCUAAAGGUUGCUGUGACUGUUCAACCAAAACUUGACAGGGAGUCUGGUGUUGAUUGUCCAAACGCAAUUCUUGUAUUUCAUCUCCAUAUCCAGGAGUUGUGGCUGGACAUCAUGCUCCCAACUCUCAUUCUCUACCUCCUGCAAUAGCGCAGAAGUCAACAGAGGAAUUAACUGACUGUCCUAAGACUUCAUGGUAACUGUUCUCCAGAGAUACAGGGUCUGUUCUGGAUGACUGUUAACCAGUCAUGACAUGCAUAGUUAGAGCAAAUGAAAACAAAUAAUGAACUCUAAAGGCCAAAAAAUGCACAACAGAUUUACUUUUUCAAGUGGACCAUUAUGGCAUUUGCUAUAAUGGUUCAAGUGAUAGUCAUGUUAUAUUUGAACUUUAUUAGCAUUUUUUCUUCAGAGUUAUAACAACCACAAGAACUUGGUUCUCAAAUUAAAGUCACUUUUGGUAAUUUCAGUUAAGUCUCCAGAGGCAGGACUGUGGCCUAUCAUGUAAUUAUUGUGGGGUUUACUUUUUCUUUUCUUUUACACUUCUGUAUAGAAGUCUGUGUCGAUAAGCUCUGUAAGCUAUUUAAUUUGUUUUAGGAGAACAUUAUACUAACCUGACGAAUUUAAUGAGAAUAGAUAUUCAAUAUUUACAUGGAUGUUUGUGUUUAUAUUUCCACAAGAGUUGUUUGUGUGAGUAAAUAUAAUGCUGCAUUAAUGUUAAGUUGAACUUUUAAUUUAAUUCCAUUGUUCGUAUGUUUAAAGUUUAAAUUGAUCUAAUACCCAUUAUAAUGAUGUUUAACAUAGAAUGUCAUGAUGUGCUUUGCUGACUUAGAAAAUAUAUAAUGAAUGAAAUAUUUUCUUUUAUCAAGUUGUUUGUGUAGAAAAAUAAAGUUUUAGAUAUCA